AUUGAUUUUAUGCUUGCAUAAAUGAUUUUUUGGAUUCGGAGCGAGUGGCGAACUGGUGAGUAACACGUGGGUAACCUGCCCCGAAGCGGGGGAUAACAUUUGGAAACAAGUGCUAAUACCGCAUAAUUAGUUGGAACCGCAUGGUUCCAACUUGAAAGAUGGCUCUGCUAUCACUUUGGGAUGGACCCGCGCCGUAUUAGUUAGUUGGUGAGAUAAAAGCCCACCAAGACGAUGAUACGUAGCCGACCUGAGAGGGUAAUCGGCCACAUUGGGACUGAGACACGGCCCAGACUCCUACGGGAGGCAGCAGUAGGGAAUCUUCCACAAUGGACGAAAGUCUGAUGGAGCAACGCCGCGUGAGUGAUGAAGGUUUUCGGAUCGUAAAACUCUGUUGUUAAAGAAGAACAAGUGUUAGAGUAACUGUUAACACUUUGACGGUAUUUAACCAGAAAGCCACGGCUAACUACGUGCCAGCAGCCGCGGUAAUACGUAGGUGGCAAGCGUUGUCCGGAUUUAUUGGGCGUAAAGCGAGCGCAGGCGGUUUUGUAAGUCUGCUGUGAAAGCCCUCAGCUCAACUGAGGAAGUGCAGUGGAAACUACAAAACUUGAGUACAGAAGAGGAAAGUGGAACUCCAUGUGUAGCGGUGAAAUGCGUAGAUAUAUGGAAGAACACCAGUGGCGAAGGCGGCUUUCUGGUCUGUUACUGACGCUGAGGCCCGAAAGCAUGGGUAGCGAACAGGAUUAGAUACCCUGGUAGUCCAUGCCGUAAGCGAUGAAUACUAGGUGUUGGAGGGUUUCCGCCCUUCAGUGCCGCAGCUAACGCAUUAAGUAUUCCGCCUGGGGAGUACGACCGCAAGGUUGAAACUCAAAGGAAUUGACGGGGGCCCGCACAAGUGGUGGAGCAUGUGGUUUAAUUCGAUGCUACGCGAAGAACCUUACCAGCUCUUGACAUCUUCUGCCAACCCAAGAGAUUGGGCGUUCCCUUCGGGGACAGAAUGACAGGUGGUGCAUGGUUGUCGUCAGCUCGUGUCGUGAGAUGUUGGGUUAAGUCCCGCAACGGGCGCAACCCUUAUUAUUAGUUGCCAGCAUUUAGUUGGGCACUCUAGUGAGACUGCCGGUGAUAAA
rnacentral:rRNA from 1 species